ACCGAAAUAGCUCAGUUGGCAGAGCAGUAUACUUUGGAGUGGGGGUCCGGAGUUCGAUCCCGGGUUUCGACA
rnacentral:tRNA from 1 species